rnacentral:rRNA from 1 species
AACGAACGCUGGCGGCAGGCCUAACACAUGCAAGUCGAACGCUCCAGCAAUGGAGAGUGGCAGACGGGUGAGUAACGCGUGGGAACCUUCCCUAUGGUUCGGAAUAGCUCAGGGAAACUUGAGGUAAUACCGGAUAAGCCCUUCGGGGAAAGAUUAUCGCCAUUGGAUGGGCCCGCGUAGGAUUAAGCUAGUUGGUGAGGUAACGGCUCACCAAGGCGACGAUCCUUAGCUGGUCUGAGAGGAUGAUCAGCCACACUGGGACUGAGACACGGCCCAGACUCCUACGGGAGGCAGCAGUGGGGAAGUAUUGGACAAUGGG